rnacentral:rRNA from 1 species
UACGUAGGGGGCAAGCGUUGUCCGGAAUCAUUGGGCGUAAAGCGCGUGUAGGCGGCUCGGUAAGUCCGCUCUGAAAGUCGGGGGCUCAACCCUCGGAUGCGGGUGGAUACUGUCGGGCUAGAGUGCGGAAGAGGCGAGUGGAAUUCCUGGUGUAGCGGUGAAAUGCGCAGAUAUCAGGAGGAACACCAAUUGCGAAGGCAGCUCGCUGGGACGUAACUGACGCUGAGACGCGAAAGCGUGGGGAGCAAACAGG